GGCAGAAAGACAGUAAACAAGUAAACAGAUCACACUUGUAGCAGCUCUGUUGCCAUUCGGACCCGACUGGGUCCUGGAGUCCGUGCUAUUGGCCGGGGAGGCGGCCCUGAGGGCGGGCCGGGGCGGGGCCCGGCGUUUUAUAUGGUCGCGCGCGCGGGCCCCUAGCCGUAGACAAUACGCCUCCCGGCUCGAGCGCUGCGGCCGCCGCCACCGUCACCGCCAUUGCCACCGCCGACGCGAGAGAAGAAAUGUAUCAAGCAAGACCCCUCUCUAGGAACUUCUUUUUGUACACCUUCCUGCAAAACCAUGGCCCUGGCUUCCUGGAUGACCAAGGUGAGGGGCUACCCGGCGUGACCAAUAUCUUGGAGUUCCACCCUGUCUCCCCCUACAGGUAGGUCCCAAUUGCCUCUGGGCCCUGCCCACCCCCAUUCCUGGUCAGUGACCGUGGCCGGGUGGUUAGCAGAGCCUUCUGGGUUCUCCAGACAGGGCUGCAGAGUGGAAAUUCCCUGGGUGUGGUCACGCAGGCAGGUGCCCUGGGCGAGGCAGCUGUGCUCUGACAGCAGCUCACAGAGGGGCCCCUCAGAGCACCCAGCAUAUUCAUAGUCCCCGGAUGGCACUGGCCAUCAAAAUGACUCAAGCUUGUGGCCUUAAGACAGGGUGCCUCCUGGCCCUCAGGACCACAGUCACCUCAAGGCCUCUUAAGAGAUGGAUUCAGUUUUAGAAAGUCAGAAGGAGGCCACUUCAGAUGCAGACCUGACCCAGUUGUCAGGGCAGCCAGGAAGAGAUUGUCCCAGCAUCAGCACCAGGGUUCUGGAUGCUUCCCCCUGCUUUAGGCCUCAGGAAUCGCUUAGCCGUUAGGUCCUGGACUUGGGGUUUGGGACUGGUCGGGACUUUAGGGCUGGAGGGACCUGAAAAUCUGCCACCUGCCCUUCCACGCUGCAUCUGUAGAUGGAGCCUGGGGCAGUGUUGUCCUGACUUGAACCCAACCCACUACCUGAUUGCUGGCCAGCCCUCCCUAGCAAACCCCUACCCCAGACUGGGCAGAUGGCCAAGGCUAGGCUGGGAGGGGCUCAGGGUCCUGGGAAUUCCCAGCCAAGUCACCGGGGUGGAAUGUGGGCAGCCCGCUGAGAGCAGAGCUGAAGCUGGCCCAGGUGCCCAGUGGGCGUGUGCACGGCCCCGUUUCCAUCAGGGACUCAUUCAGUGAGAAUGGGGGGCCUAGACAGGGGCCAGGUAGCCCCCCCUUUCUGAGAAGGGGUGGUACCAUCAGAGGUAAUCUCAGGAUUGGGGUCCAGGGGACAUGUGCCAGGGUCCCUCCCAGGGUUCUCUGGGGCACUCAGUCAUCCUGGGAGGGGAAAGGGAAGCUGCCUGCUGUCACAGGCUCUCAGUGUCUCCCUGCACUCCCACAAGGGGGGGCGGUGGGCACAGGCUUCUCCUGGGCAGCCCUCUCCCCGGGGUCUAGGACUUGCACUCCAGGGGAGGGGACCCCACGGGCUUCUUCUGAAGCAAAGUGGGAGCCAGAGGAGGGGUGUGUGAUGGUUCCCUGCCCCCGAACCUCGCGACGAACCUGUCGGUCUGGGGCUGUGGGUCACCAGCGCAACAGCUAGCUCCCUGUGGCCUCCCUGCAGUGAUGGCCCCCAUUACUUGGCCAUGCAGCUGGCCUCCAUUGCUGACGAGAUGGAGCUGAGGCUGCUGCUACCCCAGUUCGUCGAGCCCAUCCGGAUGACCGUGUACAGCCACAUAGGACUGAGGGACAUUCUUAGAAGUUUUAUGGUGGCUUUCACUAACCUCAGGGAGAACAGAAGCCUCUGGAGCUUCCUGACCCUCAGGGACAGGGUGUCCCCCAGCCCGUGGCCCGAGCUGGCGCUGUCCCUGCUGCUGGUGGUGACGCUCAGCUGGGGGCGCCGCCUCCACUGACCCGCUGCUGGCCCACGUGGGGUGGGGCUGGCCCCCCGCCCGCUCCGCCACCACCCUGGAGGUGGCCUUGUCGGUUUGGCUGGCUUUUAACUUUUCUGUUGCCCCUUUUUUAUAUUUAAACUCCGAGUGCUGGGACACUGAGGUUCAUACUAGUUUUUCCCUUGUUUUUGUAAGAGAAAUGAAUUUAUUUUACCUCUGGGGUCAUUACUGGUUAAUGACCUGCUCUCCUGGCCCCAGCCUGCUCUGCGGGGGCCUGUCCUGAGGAGGAGCCUCCCUCUCUGGGGUCGGUCAAAUAGUGCGCAGCGGGGGGAGUGCUGGCCACACCCCCGUAUCCGUGAUGCCGGUGGCAAAAAGAAUGUGCUGGAUAGAUUUCUGCGGGGUGGGGAGAGCUCAAUAAAAUGUUGGUUUCCA